GGUAAGUAGACGCUGACUGAGAACAUACGUCAACAGAGAGGAAAAGAAAUGGAAAUGAGAAAAGCUGAAGGACAGGAGUAUGAUGCUGAGCCCAUCUAUCAAAACACCAGCGGCAGCAACAAGUUGGCAAAAUAACCAUUGGAGGUUAUGACCGGGGUACCUACCUUCGAUAAAUGUCGAAACUAUACAGUAAUUUCAGAAUAUUGUACAUAGUUGGUAUUAA